rfam:Asian citrus Psyllid, Diaphorina citri - Florida Strain, whole genome shotgun sequence.
GCUAGCGGCGAUAUCACGUUGAAUACACCUGUUCCCGAUGGAUCAUUGAAGUUGAGCAGCUUUGCGCGUGGUACAUAUAUGGAUGGGUGACUAUCUGGGCAAUUGGAAGCUGCUGGCU